CCCUUAGAUGUUCUGGGCCGCACGCGUGCUACACUGAGUGGAUCAGCGGGUCAGGUUGCGCGAAAGUGUUUCCUAAUCUUGAAAUCCGCUCGUGAUGGGGAUUGACGGUUGCAAUUUUCCGUCAUGAACGAGGAAUACCUUGUAAGCGCGGGUCAUCAUCCCGCGCUGAAUACGUCCCUGCCCUUUGUACACACCGCCCGUCGCUCCUACCGAUUGAAUGCUCAGGUGAGCCAUUCGGACUUUCAUCAUGCUGGUUUCCAGUUUUGAUGAAGGAAAGUCUUGCGAACCUUAUCAUUUAGAGGAAGGAGAAGUCGUAACA
rnacentral:rRNA from 1 species